GCCAGUUCCAACCACGGGCUGCACCCACACCCAUGGAGGGGGACCGGAUGAUGAAGGACGGGGAUCGCCGGGCCGGGCCUAGCACCCCUAAAAAACUUUUCAGAGUUACCAGACCCGGGACGCGAACCCGGGUCCUCCUGCGUAGCACGCCGAUAGCGUUACCACUCGGCCAUCCGGCCGCCAAGUAUACCGCGUUCAAGACCCAACAGAUAAGGAAACUGGUCGGCCGGAUUCGCCGCGUGGAAACGUUUCGGCUUUCCACUCUGGAGGACCCGGAUUCGAGUCUCGGGUCCCACUCCUUGA
rnacentral:lncRNA from 1 species